rnacentral:lncRNA from 1 species
AUGGGGUUGCACCAGCAAGAGCCCAUCUCCCUAAAGUUACCACGGCAUAUGCUGGACUCUGAGGACACAGAACCAGGAAGCAUGUGCCAAGAAUACACGGAGAAUGGAGUCAGGAGUGUUCUGCAGGUUGGGGGCCCUGGAACACAGCAGCUCCAAAUCCUCCAGGACUUUCUAUCAAAUCUCAAGGGUGCAGCCUUGAAGACACAACAGGAGGAAUGAAAAGAACUCUCAGUCAGGGGCACGGGGCAAGUGAAAGAGGUCACGUC